rnacentral:rRNA from 1 species
GAUGAACGCUGGCGGCGUGCCUAAUACAUGCAAGUCGAGCGAACAGACGAGGAGCUUGCUCCUCUGACGUUAGCGGCGGACGGGUGAGUAACACGUGGAUAACCUACCUAUAAGACUGGGAUAACUUCGGGAAACCGGAGCUAAUACCGGAUAAUAUAUUGAACCGCAUGGUUCAAUAGUGAAAGACGGCUUUGCUGUCACUUAUAGAUGGAUCCGCGCCGCAUUAGCUAGUUGGUAAGGUAACGGCUUUCCAAGGCAACGAUGCGUAGCCGACCUGAGAGGGUGAUCGGCCACACUGGAACUGAGACACGGUCCAGACUCCUACGGGAGGCAGCAGUAGGGAAUCUUCCGCAAUGGGCGAAAGCUUGACGGAGCAACGCCGCGUGGGUGAUGAAGGUCUUCGGGUCGUAAAACUCUGUUAUUGGGGAAGAAAAAAUGUGUAAGUAACUAUGCACGUCUUGACGGUACCUAAUCAGAAAGCCACGGCUAACUACGUG